UGCGGUGUGUCUCGGAAUGGGCGCACGCCUGAUCCAGCCUGCCGCGAGUGUGAAGAAGGCCUUCGGGUUGUAAAGCACUUUUGUCCGGAAAGAAAACCUCUGUCCUAAUACGGCGGGGGGAUGACGGUACCGGAAGAAUAAGCACCGGCUAACUACGUGCCAGCAGCCGCGGUAAU
rnacentral:rRNA from 1 species